rnacentral:rRNA from 1 species
AAACCAGCACCUCAAGUGGUCAGGAUUAUUAUUGGGCCUAAAGCAUCCGUAGCCUGUUCUGUAAGUUUCCGGUUAAAUCCAUUAGCUCAACUAAUGGGCCGCCGAAAAUACUGCAAAACUAGGGAGUGGGAGAGGUAGACGGUACUCGGUAGGAAGGGGUAAAAUCCUUUGAUCUUUCGAUGACCACCUGUGGCGAAGGCGGUCUACCAGAACACGUUCGACGGUGAGGGAUGAAAGCUGGGGGAGCAAACCGGAUUAGAAACCCGAGUAGUCC